rnacentral:rRNA from 1 species
AACGCGAAGAACCUUACCCGGGCUUGAACUGCAGGAGAACGAUCCAGAGAUGGUGAGGCCCUUCGGGGCUCCUGUGGAGGUGCUGCAUGGUUGUCGUCAGCUCGUGCCGUGAGGUGUCGGCUUAAAUGCCAUAACGAGCGCAACCCCUGCAGUCAGUUGCCAUCAGGUGAUGCUGGGCACUCUGGCGAUACUGCCACCGUAAGGUGCGAGGAAGGUGGGGACGACGUCAAAUCAGCACGGCCCUUACGUCCGGGGCUACACACGUGUUACAAUGGGGUAUACAGAAGGCGGGAUCACGGCAACGUGUUUCAAAUCUUUAAAGUGCUCCUCAGUUCGGAUUGGGGUCUGCAACCCGACCCCAUGAAGCUGGAUUCGCUAGUAAUCGCGCAUCAGCCAUGGCGCGGUGAAUACGUUCCCGGGUCUUGUACACACCGA